GAGGAGAGAGAGGGCAUCUGUGGGCUCCUAGAGCUACCUCCUGGGCUGCAGUUCCCAAGGACACAACAGCUCUCUUCUUUUUGUGCCUAUGCAGCCUUGAGCCCUGAUGGGGAAACUGAGGCCGGGAAAGGAUUUGGAGCUUUUCCCAGACAUGGGGCCAGCAUCUGGCAGAAUUGUGUAUUAAGAUAUAACUUCCAGGGUUGCCAGCAUUCUUUGGCUCAGGACUUGGCCCUCUCCUCGUCAGUCCCUGCUUUUGUCCACAGAGCUGCCGCCAUGUCUCCUGCAGUCAAGCAUCCGCCCUUUGUUCUAUAAGGUACUGUCCUGGCUGUUUAUAAAAGGACAUGUCAGGCAAAGACAACUUCUUAAACACAAGCUCUUCGGACCCCAGUCAACAGCUUUCUGAAUCCCAGCCCUUCUCUGAAAAGCAGAACGAUGCCCACGUUGCCCCUGCAGGGACAGUUUAGGAAUGCCAGGGUGGCCUGUCCAUGUGGUGUCCAUUCGUCAGUGUGUCUCUUACAGCCUUAACUCACUGUGCAGGGAACUUCAGUCACUUCUCUGCUUGUGCCUCUGUUUGUGCUUAUGGAGGCUGAAGGCAGGUCUCUGCCUCCGUGAACUCUUCCUCAUCUAGGGUUGAACAAGCAUUUAGCAAGUGAGAUAUGUACAUGCAUGAGGUGCAGAGGUACAGUAAUGGAUAAAUGCACACGUAAACUCAUAGAUGAGCUAGGUAUAGCGGUAAACAUCUUUAAUCCCAGCAUUCAGGAGACAGAGGCAGACUGAUCUCUGCAAGUUCAAGGCCAGCCGGAUCUACAUAGCAAGUUCCGAAACAACCAGGGCUACACAGAGACCCUGUCUCAAAACAAAACAAAUCAAAACACUGACAACCCCCCAAUAAACACAUGGAUGGAUGCAUCCAUGCAUGAGUAGAUGGAUGGGUUCAUCAAUGAAUGCAUGAAGACAUGAAUGUAUGCACAGAGGGGUGAUGCAUAGACUCCUGAAUGCGUGGGUGAAUGGAUGGACAAAUGGCACACAUAGAUACAUGGAUGAUGGUUGCAAUUAUUUAGAAAUCACUUGCUAUUAAAUCAUCAAAGAGGCUAAAACAGGUAUCUCCUUUGACAGCAAAGUGUUUGAAGUCACCAAGGUAGGGCUAGAUUUAGAAAGCUAUGGCCAGUUUUCCCAGUAUCACAAAUGGGUGAAAAAUGACAAAGUUCCACCAAAGUCCAGAAGUCCAGAUGCGUGCCUGCUUCUGGCCAAACAUGCAUGAUAUAUUCUUCUUAAUAAAGCCAGGCUCAUGUCCUCAAAUUAUCCAAGGAAUACAUUUGCCCACCCACAGCGGUGGGGGAAGCGAUUACUUAUUAAUAAGGCAAUAGCUAAAUCUAAUUAUAUCCCCAUCAGAGGCAGCUGGUAAUAAAACCCGCUGGUCUUCCAGAGCUCGCUGACCUCGCUAACCUCAAAUCAAAGUUUAAACCAUCUUUCAGUUUUCCAUACACCCCCAGCACACCUCCCAAUUACGAGCACCCUGGUGCCUCUGUCUGCCAGGGGUCAAAGGUCACCGCAUGCACUAGAUGGCUGGGAGCUGAGAUGGGACUUUAGAAAUCUCAUUAUCCUGUUAACCAUACAUUUAUCUGACAAGAUAAAAGAGACUAGGUGACCAAGCUAUCAUUAAAGAUUAAUAGAAAGUAUAAAAAAUUCAGCUGCAACGAGCUUCGCUGUUUAGGGCUUGUGAUCGGCCUGACAGGGUUAUUAAUCAGGGAGCCAAAAAGAUUUAGGUCUUUGCUCUUGAUAUUUUCUAUUUUUAUUUUCAGGUUUUUUUUUUUUCCUUCCUUCUGUCUUAAGUCAUUACCUUGUCUCCUACCACCCCAAACUGGAGGUCAGAGGAAGCUACUGUUAAUUGGUUCUUCUGUUUUGUUUUUGUUUUUGUUUUUAAUCAUAACCCACCGGGCCAAUUAUAAAAUUGCCAGGACUCAGAAGGAUGAGGUGGACUGGGACGGGGAUUCAAGCUGCUUCCCAGAGCUGUGUCCUCCCCCUCUACCCCGCCUUGUGCCAGGCCUGUUUGUUGGCAGGAAAAAUCGAUAUGUUUUUAAUUUAAUUCAGUCCUGGAAGGCACACCCAAGCCCCAAGACGCUCUCUCCUCAUUCCUGAUUCCAUUUCAAUUUUACAUGAAAAGAUUUUCCAGCCCACGCCUACCGGCGCAUCAGAGGGCAGGAUCGUCCUCAUCAUAUUUCCUUAAG